rnacentral:lncRNA from 1 species
UGUACACAGGCAUAUAAGCUUAGCGAAGCAUCACCAAAUAUUUCUUUCUUACACAUAUGCAGGUGCAUAUGAGCAGAUCCAUUGUGUUAAAUACAUGUAGGAGCUCAACAAAGGUCAUAUCUUUUGACACUUUACUAGAUUACAAAAUUAAUUAACAGCAUUAACCGACUAAAAUUAAGUACAAGCCCAUAUGUUCCUUCACACCAUCCUGUAGGAUGUUUAAGAUGUUUUUAAAAUGGGUAGUAAAAUGACCAAAUAAUAAGUGUCAAAAAAAUGACCAAAUAAUCAGAUGUAUAGUUUGAAUUUAGGAUCGAGUAGGAGUAGCUAGCAGUGUUGAUGGUGUGUGGUGUAGAGAAACCAUGCAGAUGUCAUGGGCAGGCACUCACAGUCUAAAUUUGUUUGAAUUUAGAGAUCAGGAACCUUUUAGUAUUCCAGUUAACUAAAAAAGUUAAGAAUUAUAUUUUAGUGUUAAAUACAGUAUGUAACUAUAUCUAUUGAGUGUUUGGAGUACUUGGGAAGAUUGAGACUGUUCAAAGAUGAAUAGAGCACAUCUUUUGCAUAUGCUGUCCAGAAUUAAAGGAAAUGGUAUGAUGCAUACUGUCACAUUUGUUUAGCUACUGAAAUACUAAUUGAAAAGGAUUGCUCCCUGUGUUUUUGUGGCUGGUUGUUCAGUUUUCCGUUCUUGUGAUAUAUAAGAUCUAUGUUUUUAUAAUAAAUAGAGUACUUUUUUUAGUUGAUACACCCUCGAAACACUAAGCAAUAGUGAUGACUCGAAUACGGUAAGCAAAAUGCUUCUUAGUUAGAAGAGAGUAUUCUCUAUCUUUUCAGCUAACCUGAUGGUGCUUUUGACUACCUUAUGUGUUUUUAAAUAAAUUUGUUGUUUUCCUACAGGGAAGACUCCCCAAUAGCAUAGAGAAAGAUACAUGAUAUUUCCAUGCAUCAUGUAUCAGUUCGGUACUAGAUUUGUGACCUCUAGACACAACAAAGUACAGUAUGUAAACUAUCCAUCGACCUAAAUGUGUUUUGAUAUUUUAUGCCAAUUAAGUGUAUUACUUGUGAUGAUGAUGCUGCUGCUGUACUACUUGUGAUGAUGCUGCUGCUAUACUACUUGUGAUGCUGCUGCUACUUGUGAUUUUGUCAAGUGAUGCUGCUGCUACUUGUGAUCUUCUGAAAUGACCCCUUUC